GACUCAGUGGUGUAGCCAGUAACACACUUGCUACACUUGGAAGGGUCGCAGUGUUUCAAGCAAGAGAUCCCCGUUCGACUCGGGGCUGGGUCA